ACAAAACAAACAGCUUGAAUUCUCAAGUGCCCUGGUUCCAGAAGAAAUCAAAAAGCAGUUACAGUUACGAUUUUCCUUCUUGAAGCUUAUUUUCUGGGAUUAGUAGAACUGUGGCCUAUCUGUGCAGCUGUGAAGGAAGACCAUAACUGGAUAAAGUUAAGUCAGGUGUGCCUUUAGUGACCUUAUAAAAGAAAUCAUUCAUUACCUGUGCCAUGCUGACUUGUGAUAAGGCAGUGAAAAUUAAACUGAGACUACAUAACAAAGGGUACCAUAAUGUAUUUCUAAACCUGCAUAUCAUGAACACCCAGUAUCUUGACCAUCCAACUAAGCCUGCCAAUAGCUGGGAACUUUUACACAAAUGGCCUUAAGAAAAUAAGUGACGAUUUGGACACCCUUGGGCUUUUUUCCCCUUCUAAGCAGCACUACACUGGACGUGUUAUGAGUCUGAAAAGCGCAAGCCUCACUCAAAGCUGUAAUCUCUUUGUAGGCACACGUGGCUGUUCCCAUGGGUCUCCAGAGCUGUGUGUAGCUUCCUACCUGAGGAGAGCUUCCUGUAUGCGGCUGCUGAAGACAUUGCCUGUCCUAGGGCUUGAUUAGAGCCCAGAGGCUGCUGGAAACAGGCAGCUUUACUGGUUGAAGCAGUCUGCUGCUUUGAUUUGGGAUCUUUAACUGGUUUAGUCCAGACCAGUGCCUCCCCGACCUGUAGAGCAGCUCCCAGCUUCUGGGCUACCUCCACCAUCUUGUGUCCAUGUGGAAAGGAAGCAAAAAAAAGUCACAGACUGCAAAGGGCUGCUCUACAUAAAUGUCUCUUACCAGCCAAGAGCAUGUACAGCUCCCCCAUCUUCGGCUGGAAGUUGAUGGCUGCGCUGAGGAAAUGGAAAGCGGAUGCAUACUGCUGCAUAGUCAAGUGGACAAGGCCCAAAUUAUAGAGAAUCUUCCAAUCUAAAGGUGCCAGGUAGUUGGCUCGUUUCAGGCAGCUGAUGGCCUGGAGGAGGGAGGGGGCGCUUGGUGAGGGGCUGGGGCGAGCUCAGCAGACCCAGUAACUAUGAAUGCAAACCAGAAAGAGGAGGAGACACUCACUGCCACAUAUUUCUUCUUGCCAAAGAAGCACAUUCCGAUGUUGUUCCAGAGUGGAGGGCUUUCUGUAACAGCACACGCUACAACUUUGUAUUUGGUGAGGGCAACAUCAAAGUCCCCAUGGGUCUGCAUCAUGCUGCCUGCUGCCAAGAUGGCCUGAAAACAUGGAAAGUUCAUGAUGUAGUCAUUCCCAAAAGGCCGUCGGAGUGAAGCAGCCUUCCUGAGUCUAGAUACUCAGUAGGCCCGUCAACACUGGUGGGACGGAAAAGCAUCUUCCAGGGACCUAUCCAUCCACAGCUGCUGGGACAAACGCUCAAGAGGAACACUCUCACGCCCCACACUGUGGCCCUUUGCCGUAAUAAAGAAAAGUCUCUGACUUUACCU